GGGCGGUUAGCUCAGUGGUAGAGCGUCUGCCUUACAAGCAGAGGGUCACUGGUUCAAGUCCAGUACCGCCCAC
rnacentral:tRNA from 1 species